rnacentral:rRNA from 1 species
UACGUAGGGGGCGAGCGUUAUCCGGAUUUAUUGGGCGUAAAGCGUGUGUAGGCGGUUUGUUAAGUCUGAGAUUAAAGCCCGAGGCUCAACCUCGGCUCGUUUCAGAAACUGGCAGACUUGAGUGUGGUAGGGGCAAGUGGAAUUUCUAGUGUAGCGGUGAAAUGCGUAGAUAUUAGGAGGAACACCAGUGGCGAAGGCGGCUCACUGGACUGUAACUGACGUUGAGGCUCGAAAGCGUGGGGAGCAAACAGG